CAGACCUUCAAGCAGUGCAGUUUGGUGGUACAGCCUUCUUUAUAAAGGUACACAGCAGCAGCAUGGCUAAGGAAUGCCAUUUGCCCUCUUUUCUACAGUAGCAACUUCAGCAGAAUACAGUGCCUUGAGAAUAAGUGCUGCACAGUGUGACAAGGGAGUCCACUCUGCUGUCCCUGGCAAACCUCUCAGGAAACAGUACUUAGAUGCACACAAGGAAGUGGAUUUCCAGAACUGUUCAGCAUCAGCAAGGCGCAAUGGAUGCAUUUCCAAAGGCAAACCCAGAUCAGACGUUCAGGCUUCCAUCUUUCCCAUGGACUUCUGCAAUCCAACAAGGGGAUAUUGCUGGGCACCCUCUGGUUUGCUGAUAAGACGUGGAGGCGAGAAGGCCAUGUGGGAUGUCUUGGUGUGUUCCCUACUCUCUCCAUGCCAAAUCCCCACCCCAUGGGGAUCAGUGGCAGAGCUGUGCCAAAGCCCACCAGGGACAUUCCCAGCUUCCUCAGGCUUUCUCAUGGAAAGAGAUUGAUUCUUGCUUGGUGCUGAGGAGAGAUUGCAGAAGGAGUAGGAGAGAUUAGCCUAAUUUACUCCUCCCUGAUGAGUUUUUGUGGAUCUCUCCCAUCCCCACAUGUGUCAGCAAGCAGAAUAUCAGGCAGCAAAGAGAAUAUACUAAUUCCUGG
rnacentral:lncRNA from 1 species